rnacentral:lncRNA from 1 species
AUGCAGAAAGCUCACUUCCCUCCGAAUUUCAAUCCACAAGCAAAGUUUAAUGCAGCUUAUUCCAAAUAUUCAAACUUAACUAGACAUCCUUUAAUUUAUCCGGCACUCAGUCUAAGCCACACCACAGUCUACAGUCUGUGUGAAGUGCCCUCCUCUCCGCCGAACACCUCCUUAAAGGCAGCGUCAGAGACCACCUCCCAAGCAAGGUCUCCUCCUGCACCCUCCGUGGGAUACAACUGCUUCUUCGCUCCGCCUCCAAAGUGCAAAGGGCAGAUCAGAGCUUUAAAGGAAAACACUUCUGUGUGACCCGACUUGGCUGUUUUUACAUGCACGGCAGACGGAUGUAUUUCAGCAUCUGUUUGAGGAGGUUUGUACUGAAAAGUAGAAAAAUGAAAUCUCCCAGGCUCCGUUUGCCAAGGGAUUUGCUCUCUUUUCUGUGUUCCAAUUAAUCCUAGAGUGGCUGAGGGCUGCCCAUUUGGUCUCUGGGCUCGGGCAAAAGAGAGAAAUCUUUUCCAAAAUAGCCUGUGAGAUGGCUGGGCUCCCCGAGAUGGACGUGACAGAGGACAAAGGAGCCGUGUGGGCAUUCUGCGGAGGGCGUCUGGACCGGGUGCCCUGUCACGCGGGCUCUGCCAUCCGCCAGCCGUGGUCUACGAUAAUCCUCCACUGAUCAUGCCGCGCCGCCUUCCUGCCACUGCCUUGGUCCCUCCCUGCAGCACCCUCUGAAGUUCAGCCCCUUUCGCUGCUUUAAUUCAACUGCUUCUAAUUGGAUGCUCUUCCUGGCUAAUGGCUUGGGCCCAACUGCAGAGCUGACAUUUACUUACUUGAUUUCCACCCCUCCCUCUGCUCUCUGGCCUCCUUUGUAAGCAGAGCUUAAAUUAGGCAGGAUUUUGGAUCUGGCACCUUUUUAUUUUGCAUCUGGGGCCUCCUGUUUUUGGGUGGCGAGGGGGUGACUGUAUGGAAAGAGCCUUGGCAAUGUGCACCGAGCUGACGUAAAGAGACAUCCAGCUAGGUGACUUCUCUGUGUCCCCAAGCCCCACCUGACUGCAGCCCACCUUCGUCUCCUUUUAACUUGGCCCACGGCCUGCUAAUUUCAGCUGGAACCAGUUUACCCACUGACUAUCAGAGCACUGCCAGGAGAGUUGGUGCCCAUUUUCACGGCUGCAAAGGUCCUGGGCCGAGCAUUAGGCCUCACUGCCAGGAUUUCACUCUUUCACAGUCAGGACUGUGAUUUAGGGCUGCAGUGAUCUUAGUGACUUUGCUGUCACAAUCUCAACUCUUCCUCUCUCCCCUGUCCCUAGAGAGGAAGGUCUUAGGAGAGAUGGAGGAAGUCAGCCCAAAAGAAUUUCACACUUGAAACGUCCUUGCUUUUGCAUUUGCCUCUUACUCUUGUAACCCCAAAUGAAGCAGGAAAGUGAGUUUAGCAUUAUUCUCAGAUAUGGAUUACAGAUUUGAUUACUGAUUGGCAUCACUCCAUAGAACGGACACACAGCAAGUGUCCCCCUGGCUUGGGUCGCUGGGCAGAGUCUCCAAUCUCCAAUGUCACCCAAGCAGAUGUUACUCAGGCAAGCUGUUAGCUUGUGUCUGUCUGUCCCUAGGGAUCACUUUUACUUCUUCUUCUUUUUUUUUUUGUACCAGGGAGAGAACUUUGGACCUUGUGCUUGUGAGGCAGGUGGCGGCACCACUGAGCUAAAUCCCCAGCCCUUGAUUCUUAAUUAUAUUCCACUCUCUACCCCUUCAGUUCUCACACACACACACACACACACACACACACACCUUUAAUUGGGCUGUAGCAAUCUCUUUCAGGCGUUUCUAAUGUGCACACAGCUCAUCUCUGUUCUGACGGAUGGGCAUCUCCCCGAGCCAGCCCUUGAUUAAGAGUGACAGCCAGUGGUCCUCAUGCCACCCUGCACAGGGACCAAAGUGCAUCUCGUCGGGAAGCCCCAGAGACAGAGAGAGCUGUGGUACAGACAGGGUGACGGCGGCCUCUGGAGCAGAAGGAGACAGCACAGUGGAGCGCGGUACACUUUCUUAUAGCAGGUUGUGAAACCAGCUGGGUUCAGACAGGCAACUCACUUACCCUGGUGCUGCCUCUGCUGCUGAGAAGCUGAUGUUCAAGCCUCAGGAAACACCCAGAAUAUCUGCGUCUCCACAGUGGCCCAUUACCUGCGAAAUCAACAAGGCCUGAGUAUAAGCCCUUUCUCCCCCUGUGCUUUCCUCUCU